GAUGAACGCUGGCGGCGUGCCUAACACAUGCAAGUCGAACGUGAUUAUAGAACGGAAACUUUCGGGUGGAAGUUCUAUAUGAAAGUGGCGGACGGGUGAGUAACGCGUGAGCAACCUGCCCUGUACUGUGGGAUAGCCAAGGGAAACUUUGAUUAAUACCGCAUGAAACCGAAACCUCGCAUGGGGCCUCGGUCAAAGGAAUCCGGUACAGGAUGGGCUCGCGUCUGAUUAGCUAGUUGGUGUGAUAAAAGCGCACCAAGGCUGCGAUCAGUAACCGGCUUGAGAGAGUGAACGGUCACACUGGAACUGAGACACGGUCCAGACUCCUACGGGAGGCAGCAGUGGGGAAUAUUGCACAAUGGAGGAAACUCUGAUGCAGCGACGCCGCGUGAGCGAAGAAGGAAUUCGUUCGUAAAGCUCUGUCCUAUGGGAAGAUAAUGACGGUACCAUAGGAGGAAGCCCCGGCUAACUACGUGCCAGCAGCCGCGGUAAUC
rnacentral:rRNA from 1 species